GGUGCUUGCAUCAUGAUUUACAUUUGAGUGAGUGGCGAACUGGUGAGUAACACGUGGGAAACCUGCCCAGAAGCGGGGGAUAACACCUGGAAACAGAUGCUAAUACCGCAUAACAACUUGGACCGCAUGGUCCGAGCUUGAAAGAUGGCUUCGGCUAUCACUUUUGGAUGGUCCCGCGGCGUAUUAGCUAGAUGGUGGGGUAACGGCUCACCAUGGCAAUGAUACGUAGCCGACCUGAGAGGGUAAUCGGCCACAUUGGGACUGAGACACGGCCCAAACUCCUACGGGAGGCAGCAGUAGGGAAUCUUCCACAAUGGACGAAAGUCUGAUGGAGCAACGCCGCGUGAGUGAAGAAGGGUUUCGGCUCGUAAAACUCUGUUGUUAAAGAAGAACAUAUCUAAGAGUAACUGUUCAGGUAUUGACGGUAUUUAACCAGAAAGCCACGGCUAACUACGUGCCAGCAGCCGCGGUAAUACGUAGGUGGCAAGCGUUGUCCGGAUUUAUUGGGCGUAAAGCGAGCGCAGGCGGUUUUUUAAGUCUGAUGUGAAAGCCUUCGGCUCAACCGAAGAAGUGCAUCGGAAACUGGGAAACUUGAGUGCAGAAGAGGACAGUGGAACUCCAUGUGUAGCGGUGAAAUGCGUAGAUAUAUGGAAGAACACCAGUGGCGAAGGCGGCUGUCUGGUCUGUAACUGACGCUGAGGCUCGAAAGUAUGGGUAGCAAACAGGAUUAGAUACCCUGGUAGUCCAUACCGUAAACGAUGAAUGCUAAGUGUUGGAGGGUUUCCGCCCUUCAGUGCUGCAGCUAACGCAUUAAGCAUUCCGCCUGGGGAGUACGGCCGCAAGGCUGAA
rnacentral:rRNA from 1 species